CGUGUAGGCGGUCUUAUAAGUCUGAUGUGAAAGCCCUGGCUCAACCCAGGAAGUGCAUUGGAUACUGUAAGACUUGAAUACGGGAGAGGGCAGUGGAAUUCCUAGUGUAGGAGUGAAAUCCGUAGAUAUUAGGAGGAACACCGGUGGCGAAGGCGGCUGCCUGGACCGAUAUUGACGCUGAGACGCGAAAGCGUGGGUAGCAACA
rnacentral:rRNA from 1 species